GGGAAGGCCGGGCUGCCAAAAUGCCACGGAGAACGUGCUUAUUUCUGUUGGAGAUAGUUAGUGUUCAUUAACAAUUGGGAAGCUGCUCUGGCCUCGGACACAGGCUGUGCCACCCUGGGCAAGUCAUCUGUAAAAAGGAGCUGCAGAAAUGACGCCCCCUCCUGGGCCCCGAGGAGUUCAGGGAGAGGCUGACGCGGUUGGAAAAUGACCACGGCACAAACUCAGAUGUUAAUUGAGCGUAUGGGAGGUGGUUAAGGCUGGUGUGGGGGUGGCCCUGCUAGUAGGGGCCAACUUAUCCUUUAGGGGAAUAGGCGUUGCGAGGCUUACGGAAGGCAACCAGGCGGCAGCGAUGAGAGCCAGGACCGCCGGGGGGCGCUGUUUCAGAGGAGACAAGCGAGCAAAUAGCCACUCAUUCAGCCCCGCCGGGUUCCGGGCGCUCACUGAGGGGUCUCGCGGGAUCUUGGCAAACUUCCUGGCAGGUAGUUGCUAUUAUUAUAUCCAUUUUGCAAAUGAGGAUUUUGAGGCAGGCGACGGUUAAGUGACUUGCCCGGGUCACCUACGGGGUCAAACGGGUGAUAAGGGUUGGAGCGUCUACCUAAACUCGCUUCCUGGGUCACAGAGCUGCGAAGAAAAUCUCUGGGAGAGGAACUUUUUUAAAAAAGAAAGGGGAAAAGAAUGACUUCUGUUUUGAGUUUGGUGGCUUCAGGAAAUUGCAUAGAUCUGCAACUUUGGAGAGAGACUAGCGUUGGCCGUAUCGGUCUGGGAGUCAUUUGCACAGAAAUCAUGGAACUCCUGAGGUUGAAAGCCGUCAUCAAGUAGGAGUGAAGAGAGAAGGCCUUGGCCGUGUGACACGAAUGAUGACCCAGCUAAAGAAAGGGAAACUCCAGAGGUUAGGCAGGCAAUCAGGUGUAAAACUUAUCCAAAGUCACACAUCUAGUAAAGCUGAGCUGAACUCAAGUCCUUCUGAUUCCAGGGUCCUGUGAUGGGCAUUUUGGAGCAUUUCAAAAUUGCUUACAAUCCAGCAGGGAAAU
rnacentral:lncRNA from 1 species